AUGAACGCUGGCGGCGUGCCUAAUACAUGCAAGUCGAGCGAACGGACGAGAAGCUUGCUUCUCCGAUGUUAGCGGCGGACGGGUGAGUAACACGUGGAUAACCUACCUAUAAGCCUGGGAUAACUUCGGGAAACCGGAGCUAAUACCGGAUAAUAUUUUGAACCGCAUGGUUCAAAAGUGAAAGACGGUCUUGCUGUCACUUAUAGAUGGAUCCGCGCUGCAUUAGCUAGUUGGUAAGGUAACGGCUUACCAAGGCAACGAUGCAUAGCCGACCUGAGAGGGUGAUCGGCCACACUGGAACUGAGACACGGUCCAGACUCCUACGGGAGGCAGCAGUAGGGAAUCUUCCGCAAUGGGCGAAAGCCUGACGGAGCAACGCCGCGUGAGUGAUGAAGGUCUUCGGAUCGUAAAACUCUGUUAUUAGGGAAGAACAUAUGUGUAAGUAACUGUGCACAUCUUGACGGUACCUAAUCAGAAAGCCACGGCUAACUACGUG
rnacentral:rRNA from 1 species